AAAAGCACCAUUUAUUCUGUGUAGUUUGUACAUCUAGCUCAGUUGCAAGCUUUUAUGGCUGAAGGGUGGGUUAGUUUGUUUGUUCAUUUGUUUUUAUAUACAGAACCUGGGGACAAAAUUAGACCCACGCAUAAAAAUCUCGUCAGCGAUGCCCUCACUUCCUUCCUCUCAUCCAGACUUCAGUGAUAUCAAUGAAACCAUUUCUACUGACAUUGAAGGCUUCAGAUCACAGAAGGACCAUUACAGUGCUGGAGAGACUGGCCAGGUCAUCAACAGGAUAAUUAGAAAGAUUUCUACCUACAUCAGCAGGCCUUGGGCCAAGCUCCAAGCAAAGUAUGAAUGUGUGACUGGCAACGGCAAACAAACAAGGACUUUGCGUCAAGCUUCAACCAUUAUCUGGGAGAUCUGA
rnacentral:lncRNA from 1 species